rnacentral:rRNA from 1 species
UACGUAGGGUGCGAGCGUUGUCCGGAAUUACUGGGCGUAAAGAGCUUGUAGGUGGUUUGUCGCGUUGUUCGUGAAAUCUCACGGCUCAACUGUGAGCGUGCGGGCGAUACGGGCAGACUAGAGUACUGCAGGGGAGACUGGAAUUCCUGGUGUAGCGGUGGAAUGCGCAGAUAUCAGGAGGAACACCGGUGGCGAAGGCGGCAUCCUGGACCAUUACUGACGCUGAGUGAGCGAAAGCCAGGGGAGCAAACGGG